AAAUAGGCACCCCCCCUUUAGCACCGGUUCUUGAAAACCGGUGCCAAAAAAAAUGGGCGGGAUUAAAAAAUUCGGUUUUGGCAUCGUUUUGAACCAGUGUGAAUUAGAAAAGACAAAAAAUAAAAAAUUAAACUCGGGUUAUGCGUUACUCUGCUUCUUCAUUCUCUUUCCUGUUCUUUUUCCAUUUCCAUUCUCUCUCUUCUCUCUCCUCAUAUGCUCUCCUCUCUCUCCUCAACCAAACCUUCAGCCGCAGUUGCAACCGCAACCAUCAUGCACCGCUCACAGAUUCUCUCUCCCCUUUUCUUUUCGUGCUCUCUCCUCUAGCCUCCUUUUACCCUAUCAAUCGUUUUCUAGGGUUUAUCGCCCUUGUUAUACCUCUAAAUCUCAAUCUCAUAUCCAAUCACCUCUCAGUAAUUUCUAGGGUUUCGAAUUACACUGAUGCUGCAAUAAUUGGAGGCUGGAGUUGGUGGUGAUUAAAUUUAUGUUGUUGAACACAAAGAGGCAAACUAAUAUCAGCAGGCUACACUUCUUCUUUCUCGAGGUUUCUUCAUCUUGCUUGAUCUUUCACUCUAUGUUACUCUCUUAAUUAAAGUACUUAUCGAUUUUUUAAUUUCUGUAAUUUCUAUAAUUUCGAUCAAUUUCUGUCGUUUUCUAAGAUAUUAGGGUUUAUUACUCUUAUCUGGGUUUUCAUUUCAUUUUUUAUCGGCCAAUUUCUAAAGCAUGCAUAUCAUUUUAUUUGUUAUUCAUAUCAUUUUUUAUAAUCUUGAAGUUGAUUGAUAGAAAUGAUUGAUCUGGGUGUUUGUAAUUCUUGUUAAUUUUGUGUUUUUCUAGUGUUACUUUGAUAAUUAUGUGUUUCUUUGUGAAAAUAGUUGGUAAAAUUGCUUAUUCUCUUUAGAUAUAUGAAGAUAUGUCGUGAGCAGUUUUGUGGGUUUUUUUUUAUUGAAUUACUUUUGUGACCGAUUUGAAUUAGAGAUCUAUUCAAUUAGUUAUUUUAUUUAAGUUCAGUGAUUACUGGGGCUCUUUGUUUGUGCUUAUGAAUUAGAGAAUUACUAAAUUAAUUUUGUGGGGUUGUUGAAUUUGAUAAUUUACUGAUUAAUUUAGGUGUAUUAAUUUGAUGCUUUAUCAGGUUAAAGUUAGAAUUUAAUUUGCUGAAAUUAUUACAGUUGAGGCAGUGUUUUUAUGCUUAUUGUGUUACCUUGAAUUUACAGAUUAAAAGUUGUUGUAUUUUAGUUAGAUUUGUAGAUUUGAGGGAUUGAAGUGGGUUAUCAAAGAGGUUGAGCAUUGGAUGAAUGGGUUGGAAGAUACGUAUUGAUGAACUGCCCAGGUGUAAAGAUCUGGGCUGAAGUUUCCUUUGUUUUCGUGUUCGUUUUUCUGCUGCAUUUUGCCUAUGGGUUAACAAGUCCCAGUGAUGGUAAGUUUUAUCCUAGCAAUUUAGUUCAUCUAUCAAUUUCAAUGGUUUUUGGCGUUUUUCUAUUUUGUGAAACCAAGUUGAUUGUAUUAUUUAAAGUGUAUGUUUCUUAAUGCCGCUUAUAGCAUGGGAUAAGUAGGUAGGUGGUCAAUUUUAUUUAGCAUUGAAGGGGAGUUAAAGUAGUAUUCAAUUUCGAAAAUUCGAACUACAAAAACCAGGGUGCUUUUCUUGAUAUAUAUUGUUCAUGGUAAUCAUUAUUGAUUGCCACAGGACUAAUUCCCUAAGGUGUAUAUGUGUAAUUGAAUUUUAUCAACUUUCCUAAAGAAUCUAUAUUCAAUAUGAAGAUUCAAAAUCUAACAGGAGCUAUUUAUGUAAAGCUGCAUUUUAAUGAAUCUUGGUAUUACUAAUUUGAAGUUUUGAAAAAUGUUUCUUCGUUAGAGGAUCAAUUUGUUUGUUGAUUUCUUCAAUCAUGUUCUUCAGUUCUUUAGGGAGAUUAAGUCUUGGUCACACUAUGUACAUCUCUGGUUUGACAUGCACCAAGACAAAAACACAAGGGUCUAGAAGCACGAUGGUUUGAAAAUGGUCCUAGAACUUCCUUUGUCAACCUAAGCUACUUGCCUGCAAUCCUGAACUCAUCUUGUCUCCACAAGCAUUCUUACCUUGCUGAUGUGUCAAGGCAGAAUACUGGUACACAUGUAUGUCUUCCACAAGUUGGCAUCUUUUGUAUCACCUGGCUCAUUAUGUGUUUUAAGUGAUUUUCUGCUAGAUAGCUUUCAUCAGUUUGAUAAUUGAACUUGCAUGUUGGUAGCAUAGCCUAUGACUGGUUAAAUAUGUCUUUGUAUCUGUUAUACUACAUUUUUGUUUAUGAAAACUAAGAUUUGGAGCUGUUAACUCUUAUAGACUCUGCCAAAGCAUCUUUAGCCAAAGCUGAAGCUUGGGGAUUUCAAAAAGUCUUCUCGUGUAUUUUUUUUUGGUGAUUCUUUUGAUUUUUCUGUGAAUUUUAUUUUGCUUUUUUAUGAUUUUUUGUAUCAAUUUUGUAUUUUCUUAGGUUAAAGGAUUUUUGUGUUAAUUUUCUGUGAAAUUGUUGCUGGUUUGGAUGAUCCGAUGAAAUUAAUUAUGCGAUUUUGAUGUUUUUGAAUCAUUUUAUGACAAUGCAUGCAUAUUUAAAAAGAGUGUUAAUGUUGUGGAAAUUGCGCAUUUUUUUUUGUUGUUUGGGUGAAUUGGGCGUUAAUUUUAGCGUGGGCGUUAAUCCUCAUUUCUUGCCUAAUAUGUGACUAAAGAGAAAUUAGAGCAGUUUCUGCUUCAUUUAAUUGAUAUGGCCAUACCGGCAUUACUUCUACCUAUUAUUAGCCUCAUUUCAUACUUAUGCAUUACUGAUUUAGCUAGCUCCUCACCUUUGGGCUCUGGUGCCUCUUGAGAACUUAUUGUCAGCUCAUGGAACUCAGUGGAUUUUAAAUCCUGCACCAUGGUUUUAUAUUUUAUUGUUUGUGAGGAAGGCUCAGAAUAAUUCGUUGGUUCUGUGCUUGUCUCGGUCUUUGCUGUAGAAGUAGUAGCCUCUAACUCCACUGACAAGUCUUCUGGCUCUUUCAUUGUUGAAUCACCAGUGGUCUGGACUAUUUCUACUAGUUCUUGCUUUGACAGUGAGUCAUCGAUAGGUUCAUCUUUCAAAUUUAGGACUUUAAGCUCCUUUUGUUCUUUUUCUGGCAUAGAGAUGAUGAAAGACUUUAUAAUUUUUAAGUUUCAGCUGUUGAGGAAAUAAGUUAGGCUACUGGAUUAUGCCAAUGAAUCUUUUUUAGACUAAUAACCAGUUUAGUUACACCAUGCCUUUGCUUGCUUGGUUACUGUUGAAGGUUCCAUUCUAGCAUUCUUCUUCUUCUCACUUGUGUAUACUACCUGUUUACGUUCCUUUGUCCUAGAUGUUCAUUAGUCUAUUUCUCCAUUUCCUUGCAAGCUGCUAAAUGUUUUUGUAUUAUUGAAGAUAUGUGGGCAAUUGGUGCAGUAAUGGCUGAACUUUUUACCUUGUGUCCUAUUUUCCGUGGAGAUAGGUAAUGUUUGAUUUAGCCUUAGGGUUCUGUCUUGAAAUAAUUAUUUUAAAUAGAGUAAUUUGUAGAAUUUUGGUUGACAUGUUCUUUGGGGGCGUAUGUUUUUGGCGAUUUAUUUGUACUGUUGGAAAAACUUCAAUUUCGUUAUGGUUUAUGUUCUUUUCCUUAUCUUAGUGAUGGUUGCUCCUGCCCCUUGCUUCUUAGUGUUUGAGAGUUUGGAAAGAUGAAAGUACGAACUUGCAUAGACAUAUUUUCCAAAGAGAUCACAAAAUAUAUGUGUAUGACCUAUGUUGAUUAUGAUCACCAUUUAUUUAGAAGCAGUCACUAUGAGUACUAGAUUGCUAAGAGCAGCCAAACCAGCAAGCAACACAGCACUACAGCAGAGCAACAAACACCCAGCACAGCCUGACCAAAGCAAAACUGAAACACAGCAGCUCAAGAACUCAAACCAGUCACCCAGCUAGCCUGAACAUCAGAGACACAGCCACAAAAGCAAACAGAUGCCCAACCAGCCUGAACAGGACAGAGGCACAACAGCGCAGCAGAACAAAACCAGUAGCACAGCAAACAGCAGAGCAGCAGGUCAGCCUGAACACACAACAACACAUCAGCCAGCAGAGCAGCCACCAGCACAAGACAGCCUGAACAGAAGCAAAACCAAUCACCCAGCCAGCUUGAACAGAGCAGAAACACAGCCACAGAAGCAGAACAGCCACAACCAUCAGAGCAGAAACACAGCCACAACCAUCAGAGCAGAAAUACAGCGACAACCAGCAGAGCAGCCACCAGCACAAGACAGGGACAACUAGUUAAAUGAAAUGCAAGAAAGGCACUCAGAGAUAAGUCUGGAUUAUUUAAUUUUUUUUGGACGAAAAUUGUAAUUUUACAGCCUUAUUUAAUGAAAAUAUGUAACUUUAUAUA